rnacentral:rRNA from 1 species
UACGAAGGGGGCUAGCGUUGUUCGGAAUUACUGGGCGUAAAGCGCGCGCAGGUGGUCUUUCAAGUCAGUGGUGAAAGCCCGGAGCUCAACUCCGGAAAUGCCAUUGAAACUGUGAGACUUGAGGACGAGAGAGGUGAGUGGAAUUCCCAGUGUAGAGGUGAAAUUCGUAGAUAUUGGGAAGAACACCGGUGGCGAAGGCGGCUCACUGGCUCGGUAUCUGACGCUCAGGCGCGACAGCGUGGGGAUCAAACAGG